rnacentral:rRNA from 2 species
CAGGCUAAUACCGCAUACGUCCUACGGGAGAAAGCAGGGGAUCUUCGGACCUUGCGCUAUCGGAUGAGCCUAUGUCGGAUUAGCUUGUUGGUGAGGUAAUGGCUCACCAAGGCGACGAUCCGUAGCUGGUCUGAGAGGAUGAUCAGCCACAUCGGGACUGAGACACGGCCCGAACUCCUACGGGAGGCAGCAGUGGGGAAUAUUGGACAAUGGGCGAAAGCCUGAUCCAGCCAUGCCGCGUGUGUGAAGAAGGCCCUCGGGUUGUAAAGCACUUUCAGUGAGGAAGAACGCCUUCGGGUUAAUACCCCGGAGGGAAGACAUCACUCACAGAAG